UACGUAGGGUGCGAGCGUUAAUCGGAAUUACUGGGCGUAAAGCGUGCGCAGGCGGUUUUGUAAGCCAGAUGUGAAAUCCCCGGGCUCAACCUGGGAAUGGCAUUUGGGACUGCAAGGCUUGAGUGCGGCAGAGGAGACUGGAAUUCCUGGUGUAGCAGUGAAAUGCGUAGAUAUCAGGAGGAAUACCGGUGGCGAAGGCGGCUCUCUGGUCCAAUAUUGACGCUGAGAAACGAAAGUGCGGGGAUCAAACAGG
rnacentral:rRNA from 1 species